rnacentral:lncRNA from 1 species
GUGGGCAGAGCUGGUCACUGGGGAUGAGGUGACUCAGUCCCUGUAAGGAAUUCAGGCUCUUCUUGGAGAGAAGACAUCAGAGCCCCAAACUCCAAUCUCCAUGAUUCAAACGUACAGAAGUUCGUACAAUUCAUAUGAAUUUCCACAAAGUGAACUCAGCCGUUUAGCCAGCACUGAGAUCAAGAAACAGAGCCCUGCAGAAGCCCAGCAGCCUCCACCCUGCCCCGCCGUCGUCACCCAGCCCCUCACCCCUCUGCAAGGCCUCUCCUGAUUACAUUGGAUCCAGGUGGGUAGGACAUGGACAUCUUUGGGGAACCAUUGGUCGGCCUACCACACCAACCCUCUGAAGUUACGUUCGGCUCCCGUCCUCCAGUACACUUCAUCUCUGCCACCUCAGUGAAGUAAAGCGGAAACUCAAUGUCCUUUUACCCCGUGAUCUCAACUCAAAGACGUUUACAAAGUAAACUCCUGGAGCGUAGGGAUGGACCAGCUUCGUUACUGUUUUCCCACCACCGGAAUAAUCUUGGAUACUCAGUGGACACUCAGUGACUACUUGUCAGUUGAAGGAACGCGUGAAGGAGUAUUCCCUACAUCCUGACAUCCCUCCUGCGAGGUGAGGAGCAGCCGUGUGACACGGGAGGACCUGAGGAUAACUGCCUGCAGCUGUGGUUUUACUCCAUACUCUGAUCUUCACCAAAACACGUACGGUCUCUCUAUACCUCCAUUUCCUCACCUGGUAAAUGAGGUGGCUGGCACAGGUAAUAUCUAGAGUAUCUAGCCAGCAUUAAUAUUCAUUUUAAGUGGAAACAAUCCUUAAGGUAAAAAGUAAAGUGAAAAGGUCAGAAUUCAAAAUUCUAUAAAUGGCAUGAUUUAAAUUGACUGUAAAAUUAUGCACCAUACUAAUAUAAAUGUUAGCAAAAAGGGGAAACUGGGUUUAAGAUACAUGGGCAUUCUGUACUAUCUCCACAAUUUUUCAAUGAAUUUAAAACUGUUCUAAAAUAAAAAGUUUAUUUUUUAAAAGUUGCUUGUCAGUGAGAUGAGGUUAUAAACUCCUUGG